AAAUAUAUAGUAUAAUAAUUACAUUUAACUUCCAAUUAAAAAAUUUAAAAUAAAUUUAAUAUAUUUA
rnacentral:tRNA from 1 species